rnacentral:rRNA from 1 species
GACGAACGCUGGCGGCGUGCUUAACACAUGCAAGUCGAACGAUGAACCCGGAGCUUGCUCCGGUGGAUUAGUGGCGAACGGGUGAGUAACACGUGAGUAACCUGCCCUUGACUCUGGGAUAACUGCGGGAAACUGUAGCUAAUACCGGAUACGACCCUCGGCGGCAUCGCCAGGGGGUGGAAAGAAUUUCGGUCAAGGAUGGACUCGCGGCCUAUCAGCUAGUUGGUGAGGUAACGGCUCGCCAAGGCGACGACGGGUAGACGGCCUGAGAGGGUGAACGGCCACACUGGGUCUAAGACACGGCCCAGCAUCCUACGGGAGGCAGCGGUGGGGAAUAUUACACAAUGGGCGCAAGCCUGAUGCAGCAACGCCGCGUGAGGGAUGACGGCCUUCGGGUCGUAAACCUCUUUUAGUAGGGAAGAAGCGAAAGUGACGGUACCUGCAGAACAAGCACCGGCUAACUACGUGCCAGCAGCCGCAGUAA